rnacentral:rRNA from 1 species
UAACUGCGAGUGAAGCGGGAAAAGCUCAAAUUUAAAAUCUGGCAGUCUUUGGCUGUCCGAGUUGUAGUCUGGAGAAGUGCUUUCCGUGCUGGACCGUGUACAAGUCUCUUGGAACAGAGCGUCAUAGAGGGUGAGAAUCCCGUCUUUGACACGGACUACCAGUGCUUUGUGAUGCGCUCUCAAAGAGUCGAGUUGUUUGGGAAUGCAGCUCAAAAUGGGUGGUGAAUUCCAUCUAAAGCUAAAUAUUGGCGAGAGACCGAUAGCGAACAAGUACCGUGAGGGAAAGAUGAAAAGCACUUUGGAAAGAGAGUUAAACAGUACGUGAAAUUGCUGAAAGGGAAACGCUUGAAGUCAGUCGCGUUGGCCAGGACUCAGCCUUGCUUUUUUGCUUGGUGCAUUUUCUGGUUGACGGGUCAGCAUCAGUUUUGAUUGUCGGAAAAAGGUUGGAGGAAUGUGGCACCUUCGGGUGUGUUAUAGCCUCUGGUCACAUACGACGGUUAGGACUGAGGAUAUCAGCACGCCUUUAUGGCCGGGGUUCGCCCACGUUCGUGCUUAGGAUGCUGGCAUAAUGGCUUUAAGCGACCCGUCUUGAAACACGGACCAAGGAGUCUAACAUACCUGCGAGUGUUUGGGUGGAAAACCCGAGCGCGUAAUGAAAGUGAAAGUUGAGAUCCCUGUUGUGGGGAGCAUCGACGCCCGGACCUGACGUUCUCUGAUGGAUCCGCGGUAGAGCAUGUAUGCUGGGACCCGAAAGAUGGUGAACUAUGCCUGAAUAGGGUGAAGCCAGAGGAAAC